UACGUAGGCAGCGAGCGUUGUUCGGAAUUACUGGGCGUAAAGAGUGUGUAGGCGGUGCUCUAAGUUCGGUGUGAAAUCUCCUGGCUUAACUGGGAGGGUGCGCCGGAAACUGGAGUGCUCGAGCGUGGGAGAGGAAAGCGGAAUCCUGGUGUAGCGGUGAAAUGCGUAGAUAUCAGGAGGAACACCUGUGGUGUAGACGGCUUUCUGGACCAUAGCUGACGCUGAGACACGAAAGCGUGGGUAGCAAACAGG
rnacentral:rRNA from 1 species